UCCAUUGUAGCUAUUCUCAUUCUCCAUUUAUAUUACAACAAAAGAACCAAAGCACUGUUUUUGGCAAGGGUUUUUGAGAUUUUAGUAGAUGGAAAGAACGACGGCAGCUCCGAUGGCUAAGAAGAGUGGCAAUAACUCCAUUGAAGCAGCUCUAUUCCAAACUAUUUAACAGAUUAAAAGCUCUAAUGCAGAGUAGUGUAUGAGCAAAGCUAUACAUACCUAUAGUAGAUUGGAAGAAUGGCAGUAGCUCUCCUAGAUUAGAAGAAUAGAUGGUGGUAUUGGUUUAGGAUUCCAGGUCUCCUGGAUUAAAAGAAUGAAUGGAUGGCAAAGCUAUACCUGUAGCAGAAGCUCCGAUUCUAUGACAAACAAGCCCUGUGAUGUAAGGAUUCUAAAGGCCAUAUUUUUGGAAUUUCGCUUCAAAUUAUUGGGGAAAUGGGCAGUUUUUGUGGGAUGUGGUUUGUGGGAGUGGUUAUUGUGAAUGCAGUAGAAAUAAAAGUUAGGCCUUCUAUGUACAAUCUAUACUUGAUUUUGAAGCAGGGGAUCAUUCAAAAAUCUUGUCAUUUCUUUUGAAAGUCAUGUGUAAAUUGUGUUACCAAGUCAUUUACUGAUUUGCAAUUUAGUUAUUUAUAAUUAA